GAUGAACGCUAGCUACAGGCUUAACACAUGCAAGUCGAGGGGAAACGAUAGAGAAAGCUUGCUUUUUCUAGGCGUCGACCGGCGCACGGGUGAGUAACGCGUAUCCAACCUGCCCACCACUUGGGGAUAACCUUGCGAAAGUAAGACUAAUACCCAAUGACGUCUCUAGAAGACAUCUGAAAGAGAUUAAAGAUUUAUCGGUGAUGGAUGGGGAUGCGUCUGAUUAGCUUGUUGGCGGGGUAACGGCCCACCAAGGCAACGAUCAGUAGGGGUUCUGAGAGGAAGGUCCCCCACAUUGGAACUGAGACACGGUCCAAACUCCUACGGGAGGCAGCAGUGAGGAAUAUUGGUCAAUGGGCGAGAGCCUGAACCAGCCAAGUAGCGUGCAGGACGACGGCCCUAUGGGUUGUAAACUGCUUUAAUAAGGGAAUAAAGUGGGUCACGUGUGACUUUUUGCAUGUACCUUAUGAAUAAGGACCGGCUAAUUCCGUG
rnacentral:rRNA from 1 species